GCUUAGCCCUCAACAUAGACAGUAAAACCACAAUACUGUCCGCCAGAGAACUACAAGUGAAAAACUAGAAACUCCAAGGACUUGGCGGUGCUCCAUACCGACCUAGAGGAGCCUGUCCUAUAAUCGAUAAUCCACGUUUCACCUCACCACCUCUUGCAAGUCAGCCUAUAUACUGCCGUCGUCAGCUUACCUUAUGAAAGAAGCAAAGUAAGCAAAAUAGUAAACAACAAAAACGUCAGGUCAAUGUGUAGCAUAUGGGGUGGAAGAGAUGGGCUACACUCUCUACCACAGAACACACGAACAGUACAAUGAAAUAAGUACUCAAAGGCGGAUUUAGUAGUAAGACAAACAAGAAACUUUGACUGAAAUACGCUCUGGAGCGCGCACACACCGCCC
rnacentral:rRNA from 1 species